UUACAGGGGAAGAUACAGGUAACUAACACACUGUUACACUGUUACAGGGAAGAUACAGGUAACUAACACACUGUUACAGGGAAGAUACAGGUAACUAACACACUGUUACAGGGAAGAUACAGGUAACUAACACACUGCUAUAGGGGAAGAUACAGGUAACUAACACACUGUUACAGGGAAGAUACAGGUAACUAACACACUGUUACAGGGAAGAUACAGGUAACUAACACACUGUUACACUGCUACAGGGGAAGAUACAGGUAACUAACACACUGCUACAGGGAAGAUACAGGUAACUAACACACUGUUACAGGGGAAGAUACAGGUAACUAACACACUGCUACAGGGAAGAUACAGGUAACUAACACACUGCUACACUGCUACAGGGAAGAUACAGGUAACUAACACACUGUUACACUGUUACAGGGAAGAUACAGGUAACUAACACACUGUUACAGGGGAAGAUACAGGUAACUAACACACUGUUACAGGGGAAGAUACAGGUAACUAACACACUGUUACACUGUUACAGGGGA
ensembl:lncRNA